UUCCCCCAGUAGUGGCGAAUGAAGCGGGAAAAGCUCAAGUUUGAAAUCUGGCGGGCGACCGUCCAGAGUUGUAAGCUGGAGAGGUGUCGUCGGAUGCGGUCCGGGCUCAAUUUCCUUGGAACAGGAGGUCAUGGAGGGUGAGAACCCCGUAUGUGGCUUGGGUGCCGUGGUCCUUGUGACGUAUCCUCUAAGAGUCGGGUUGUUUGGGAAUGCAGCUCAAAAUGGGUGGUAAAUUUCAUCUAAAGCUAAAUAUUGGUGAGAGACCGAUAGCAAACAAGUAGAGUGAUCGAAAGAUGAAAAGUACUUUGAAAAGAGAGUGAAACAGUACGUAAAAUUGUUGAAAGGGAAGCGUUUGGCAUCAGCCCAUGGCGGCGGUCGAACAUCUGGGCUUCUGCCCAGUGCACUCGGCAGUCGCCGGGCCAGCGUCGGUUCCACCUGCUGGAGAAAGGCCUUGGGGAAGUGGCACUCCCUUGUGGAGUGUGUUAUAACCCAUGGCGUCAUGCGGCUUG
rnacentral:rRNA from 1 species